GAUUUAUUUGUAUUUUAAAAAGUUUAUGGGGUUUAGUGUAUUUUAUAAAGUUUUUAAUUUUGAGAAGCUUAAGUAAGUGUUAUUGAAAAAGUAGUGAGUAACUAUAAAAUAUUUGUACCGAGAGGGGCAUGAGGGGUUAGUUUAGAUAAAGUGGGCGUUAGAAAGUGUACCUUUUGUAUCAUGGCUCUUUAAGGGUUGUUUUGUAUAAAUUGAUCCCGAAAGAAGGCGAUCUAUUUUGUGACUUAGAGGUCAAUAUUUCAAAAUUGUCUUGAGAUUGCGGAAUAGGGGUUAUAUGCCGGUCGAGCUUUCUGAUAGCUGGUUAACCAGGAGAAGUGUUUAAGCACUGCUGCAAUAGAGAAUUAUAGGUUACAGUAAUGCUUUAUGGGAAUAAAUUUUUGUAAUUAAUUUGCAGGUUAAGUAUAAGGGGAUAAGCUCUUAUAUUAGCUUAAGGGUACAAGAAGAAAUUAUUUAGGUUUAGUGGGCUUAAGGUUGGCCAUCUUUUGAGUUUUUUAAAAAACAUUUUUUAAGGUUAAAAAUUUUUUUUUGUUUCUGAGCAAAAAUACUGGUUUUUCUAGAGGAAUUUAGUUCUAGAGUGAUUUUGAGGAGAUGAGUACUUGUUGACUUAGGAGUAAACAAACACAAAAUGUUCUAUGAUUAGAGAAGUGUGUGGGUAUUGUUGGCUUAUUUGAGUAAAUAUAAACCAUUAGAAGGAAUUCGGCAAAAAAUUAUCCCGCCUGUUUAUUAAAAACAUGGCCCUUUGUGUUAAUCAAAGAUGAAGGGUCUGGCCUGCCCAGUGACGAUUUAGUUAAACGGCCACGGUAUCCUAACCGUGCAAAGGUAGCGUAAUAAAUUGCCUAUUAAUUGUGGGCUAGUAUGAAUGGCUUAACGAGGAUGAGACUGUCUCUUGGUGGGGUAUAUGGAAUUUAAUUUUUAGGUGAAGAGGCCUGAAUAUGAUAAAGGGACGAUAAGACCCUAUCGAGCUUUAGUGAAGUUUUGAGGACUAUUUUGAAAGCAGGUUUGGAUUCAUAUUAUCAAAAGGAAUCUUUGGUUGGGGCGAUCAAAAAGUAAAAAAAACCUUUAUUAUAAGUGUAGGUUUAUGGACUAAAGAUCUGGCAUAUUUAUGUAGAUAAAAAGAAUAAGUUAUCGUAGGGAUAACAGCGUAAUCUUUUUGGAGAGUUCUUAUUGAGAAAAGGGUUUGCGACCUCGAUGUUGGACUAAGAUAACCGAAAGGUGUAGCAGCUUUUUAGGGUUGGUCUGUUCGACCAUUAAAAUCUUACAUGAUCUGAGUUAAGACCGGCGUGAGCCAGGUCGGUUUCUAUCUUUUAUGAUGUGGUGUUUACCUCUGGCUAGUACGAAAGGACCGCAAAGGGGGAAAAUAUUUGAGGGUAAAAAAUUGUGAAAUAGGUUACUAAGUUUA
rnacentral:rRNA from 1 species